UCGCUCGUGUCAUCGCUUCCACCGACUCGACUCUUCCGCCGGAGUCGCCCCCUACAUUGCUUCAAGAAGGGGCAACCCGAACCCCUCCUCCCCUUCUCUUUACGAAUCCGGUCAUGUGAUAUCAUCCGGCCGUUGUUUGCUUCCUCAUCUCCACUUCUUCUCUCCAUUUCCACGUUCUCUCCUUGAGGGAGCGAGGGAGAGUUCUUGAUCGCCGUCAUCAAUGGCGGCGCAGUACUCGUCGUCUAGGGGGCGGAGCAGCUCCCCUUUCAGCUACCGGAAGCCACCCUCAGCCUCUUCCUUCUCCUCCACCUCCUCCUCCGCCAACGGCCGCCCGAUCCCCCGGUCUUCGCCAUCGUCGGUGUCGUCCCACUUCCACGGGUCUUCCAAUGGAGGGCAUACAAGAUUCGGGACCGCUGUCCUGGGUGGCGCGGAGUACUCCAGGGGGCGGGUGGCACCAGUAGGAUUUGCGGCAGAGGAGCUGGUGGUUGAGCCAGCGGACGCGGGGAGAUCUGGGGAUAACAUCUCGGUGACGGUUAGGUUUCGUCCUUUGAGUGACCGCGAAUUUCAGCAUGGGGACGAGGUCGCUUGGUAUGCGGAUGGGGAUAAAAUCCGCAGCGAGUACAAUCCAACCACAUUCUUCGCAUUUGAUAGAGUUUUUGGUCCUUCCACAACUACUCAAGUGGUCUAUGAUGUUACUGCUCGGCCUGUUGUUAAAGCUGCAAUGGAGGGCAUAAAUGGGACGGUUUUUGCCUACGGUGUCACUAGUAGUGGCAAGACCCAUACAAUGCAUGGUGAUCCCAAGUCUCCUGGUAUCAUACCACUAGCCAUAAAGGAUGUCUUCAGCAUAAUACAAGAUACUCCAGGAAGAGAAUUUUUACUCCGUGUAUCAUACCUUGAAAUUUAUAAUGAGGUUAUUAAUGACUUGCUUGAUCCCACUGGCCAAAACCUGCGCGUAAGAGAAGAUGCUCAGGGUACUUAUGUUGAGGGUAUAAAGGAGGAAGUUGUUUUAUCUCCUGGGCACGCACUUUCUUUCAUUGCUGCUGGUGAAGAACAUCGUCAUGUUGGUUCUAACAAUUUUAACCUGUUCAGUAGCAGAAGUCACACAAUUUUUACCUUGAUGAUUGAAAGCAGUGCUCAUGGUGAUGAAUAUGAUGGAGUGAUGUAUUCUCAACUUAAUCUUAUUGAUCUAGCAGGAUCUGAGAGUUCAAAAACUGAGACAACUGGGCUAAGAAGAAAGGAAGGAUCUUACAUUAACAAAAGCCUUUUAACUCUUGGAACAGUGAUUGGAAAGCUUAGUGAAGGGAAAGCAUCUCAUAUUCCUUACCGUGAUUCUAAAUUGACUCGACUACUGCAGACCUCAUUAAGUGGCCAUGGGCAUGUAUCGCUCAUUUGCACGGUUACACCUGCAUCUGGUAGCAUGGAGGAAACUCAUAACACACUCAAGUUUGCGAGUAGGGCAAAACAAGUUGAAAUUUAUGCUUCUCGUAACAGGAUUAUUGAUGAAAAGUCAUUGAUCAAGAAGUAUCAGAAAGAAAUAUCAAGCUUAAAGCAAGAACUUGAGCAUUUGAAGAAAGGGAUGCUAAGUGGGGCCAGUCAUGAUGAAAUAAUGAGCUUGCGCCAGAAGCUUGAGGAAGGCCAGGUGAAGAUGCAAUACCGUUUAGAGGAGGAAGAGGAGGCCAAAGCUGCUUUAAUGAGUAGAAUACAGAGGCUGACCAAGCUGAUACUUGUUUCUACCAAGAACUCUAUUCCUGGGUGUUUAACUGAUUUACCUGGGCAUCAGCGCCGUCUCUCUUUAGGGGAGGAUGAUAAAAUGGAUAUACCACGUGAGCAUUCUCCAGUUCUUGAAAGUGAGAGCACCCUGAAUGGUUUUGUGGCUUCUGCUCUGUCAGAUUCAUUAGACACAUUAUCUGAUGUUAAAAAUCAAAGAUAUUCAAGUAAUUUGAGUGAAGAACAUUCCGCAGUCAGUGGCUCAAUCACAGAUGCAGAGCAGACUAGGAUAACAAUGUCAGAUGAAAUGGAUCUCCUAGUCGAACAAAUAAAGAUGCUUGCUGGUGAGAUUGCAUUUGGUACCAGUACACUAAAGAGACUGAUGGAGCAGUCCGUAAAUGAUCCAGAUGGCACAAGGAUUCAGAUCGAGAAUUUGGAGCAUGAAAUCCAGGAGAAACAGAGACAGAUGAGAGUGUUGGAACAGCGCAUUAUUGAAAGUGGCGAAGCUUCAAUGGCCAAUGCCUCAAUGGUUGAAAUGCAGCAGACUGUAACGAGAUUAAUGACUCAGUGCAAUGAGAAGGGCUUUGAGCUAGAGUUAAGAUCAGCUGAUAACCGUAUCCUUCAAGAGCAGCUGCAACUGAAGUGCUCUGAGAUUAAGGAGCUGGAAGAUAAAGUGCUUGUUCUUCAACAGCAACUAACUUCAAUCAAAAAUGAAAAACUGCAUGAAGAACUUGGCACAGAAGAAAUUAAUGAUUUGAAGAGUAAACUUCAAUAUCAGGAGGCUGAGAAUGAGAAACUAAAUCUUGAACGUCAUCAAUUGAUCAAAGAGAAUCAUGGUUUGCUUUCACAGAAUCAGAAAUUAGCUGAAGAAGCUUCUUAUGCAAAAGAAUUGGCAUCUGCUGCUGCGGUUGAGCUCAAGAAUUUGGCUGAGGAAGUAACAAAGCUCUCACUACAAAAUGAAAGACAGGCUAAAGAGUUAUUGGCUAUUCAAGAUUUAGCUGCUUAUUCCAAAACUGCUAAUGGUACCAUCCGUAGGUUUUCUGAAAGCAAGAAUGAUGGGAUCAAACUAGGACGAAAAGGCCGGCCUCCUAGUAGAAGUGGCGAUGCUGGAAACACAGGAUCUGAUGAUAUGGUUAACCGGAAUCUUGAUCUAGAUGACAUAAGGAUGGAAUUGCAGGUCAGAAAACAAAAGGAAGAUACUUUAGAAGCUGCUUUGGCUGAAAAAGUGCAUCUGGAAAAAGAAUAUAAGAAAAAACUUGAAGAAGCAAAGAAACGAGAAAUAUCAUUAGAGAAUGAUUUGGCUAGCAUGUGGGUGCUUGUUGCUAAGCUGAAAAAAGGUCCCUUAUGUACAUCUGAAUUUACUGCAGAUAAAAGUUCUACCAUUUUGGUUGAUGUUUCAGAUGAUCUUAAAAUGAACAAUGAUGAACACAAUGGUUCUCUUCAUCAGGAAAGACAAGCAGUAGAUAGUUUGGAAAAGCCAAAUAAUGAACAAUUGAACCAAAAUCAGGAGUUGGAACCUUUGCUUGUUCGCUUAAAGGAAUCAUGGAUAACAGAUAUGGAUAACCAGUUUGCAAUCUGUUCAGGCCAAAAUUCAGGAGAUGAAGGAAAGAGAAAUUGAUUCUUCAGGGACUGGGGAGACAAACUCUCAUGUUUGUAAAGUAUGCUUUGAAUCACCAACUGCUGCAGUACUUAUUCCUUGCCGGCAUUUUUGCUUGUGUAAAUCUUGCUCACUCGCCUGCUCAGAGUGCCCUCUUUGCCGCACUAGGAUUGCUGAUCGUAUCAUUACCUUCACUUCAUAAGUAGUGGCCCUCCUAUUUACAGGUCAACUACCUUGUUGCUUUUGCUGUACAAUAAAUUUUCUUCAUCAGUUUGUAGAAGGUGCAUGCUCUGUUGUUUUUAGAAGGUUCUACCUUGUGGGAACUGCAAAUUCUUUUCGUUUCUAAAGGCAAAAUGUCUCUGUCUCCAUAUUUGUCCAUCUUGUUCAUAUUAUAAAGAUCUUAUUGUUCUGCAAGCAAGCACAUUGAUGAACCAACCCACUGGAAGCUGUGGAGAUCAUCUAUAAGAAUUUACAAAAGAGAACAUGCUAUGGGAACCUGCUUGUUCCCAUAUAUGAUCACAGCACCUGUAUGCUCCUUGUCAAAUCAUCAUAUUGUAGUUUGUUGGUGGUCGAAUGAACACUGUAAAUGGUCUGUAAACACUGUAAAUGGUCUUAAAAGGAAAUGCCAUUAGUGGUUGUAGCUACAAUGCUAAAACAAUGUUUCUGUCUGGGCUUACCAUAUUAGUGCAACUUAUAUUCAGAGUAAUGC